rnacentral:tRNA from 114 species
GCGACACUAGCUCAGCUGGUAGAGCGCAACCUUGCCAAGGUUGAGGUCACGAGUUCGAACCUCGUGUGUCGCUCCA